rnacentral:misc_RNA from 1 species
GGAAACCAAAAGUUCUGAAUCUGAUAGGCAUAUUGAAAGAAAAGGAUACGAACAAGAAAAAUUUUGAGACUUCAAACAUUGAAACAAUCAUAUAUAUUCAUUAGCAUUAAUUUUAUUAACUUGUAAAAUGGGAACUUCUUGGAAGAAAUGUUGUUUCCAGACACCAUGACAAAUUCAAAGGCUUGGAAGAGGGGAAAAAGAAGAAGA